UGUAGAAUGUAAAUCUUUGCUGGCUAUUGCACGGGGGUUUGUUUGUGUAGAUUACCCCUCCCUGACAUGCACCUGGGAUGGGCCUAUAAAUUGAUUUGAGCAACUUCCCGCCUGUGUGUGACUGUCCUGCAAGGCGCGUAUAGGACCAGUAGAUGAAGAGGACAGGACACGGUAUAGUGGUGCAGUGUAAAGGCGGAUGACAGAACAGGCUGUCCUCCCUCCCCCGUCUCUUCUCGGUCAUCCACCUCUGGAAAGUGACCUGUGCACUACAGAUAAGUCUGAGGAGAUCUGUCUCCUCAUAUUAUCCCUCAGAAAUGGAAAGCAGUGGAGAUGUAUUGUACCAGAGAGACCGGGGGCAGGGAGCAAAACUAACUCCCCCGCUCAUCUCUAUCCAAAUUACAGGGAACCAUUUACUUCUCCGCACCCCUCUUCUGCUUUGUGCCCCUCUCGGACAGCCCUAGUUACUGCUCUGUGUAUAAAGACGCUGGUGUGUGUAUAUAAACCAGGCACUUAGCUAGGAUCCACACAGGUUCUAUUGUGCGUUUGUUUAGAAACAUGUGUAUUGUGUGUAAGUGGUAUAAUACAGCACCAGGAAAAUGAUUAUUACAAUCCGGUCUGGUUCUAGCAGAGGUUAUUAGCUCAUAGUAAACUGUGGAAGCAGUAUAUAUUCCCAGCUGUGCAUGGGGUGUAAUAAGUAUCACCAUUUGUUGGCAUCUAAUACAGGAUCAGUAUACGAUCCCGACGAACGGGAUUCCAGCGGUUAGAAUAACAAUGCCGGCAAAGAUCUCGACCCCUCUGUGUGGUUCCUAAACCCAACCCCCCCAAACCACCACCCCCAGACAGCCAAACCCAUCUGUGUGGUGCCUAAACCUAACCCAACCCCCCAGAUCCCCCCGCCCCACAGCCAAACACCAACCGUCUUGGUUAUACUUAACCUUCAGUAUUCCGGCUGUCAGAAUUCUGACGUCGGGAUGCUGACCUGUGCAGGAUUCCGGCAUUGGUAUUCUGACGGAAGUCGGCAUUCCAGCGAUGGAUUCUUGAACGGGUCCCUCUAAUACACCCCAUUCAGUGUUACCAUUUGCGACAAUUUUUAAAGUUGACAUGUCUUUAGAGUCUGGUUAGCCAUUCUGAUAGCAGAAUGUGUUUACGGGGGUGUGGAUCAAUGGAUCGAGAACGUUACAGUCAUUAGUUGCCACCGAAAGGGCCAACAUGCAUUAGGCUGACCAGUACAAAAGGUCGACGGAUAAAAUGGCAGCAGUGCUUAAGGUCAUUAUGUCGACACACAAAUGGUCAACACAUAUUUUUGAGCCAAGUCGUAUAUAUUUCAUGUUGUGUGACCACCAUCAGUACAAACGUGUACACCCGCCACGCUCCUGGCCACGUCACUAUUCCCAGUAGAUGUCCACGUGGAUAGUGGAUCAAGCAAAUGUUGAGAAAGCAUGAGGAACUAAAAAAAAAAAAAAAGUGUCGACCAUUUGUGUGUCGGCCUUUUGCACCUGUCAAACUAAUGCAUGUUGACCAUUGACCAAUACAUUGUCUAUCUGUUAUCCGGAUACGGUUUAUGCAGUGAUGAUGUGUGUUGUUCUGGGAGUCACUACAUAGUUUUGCAUCUUUGUAUUUUAGGGGUGUGGGCUGUAAGGUGCAGGCAUUGCGGGUGGUGUCCAUUUAUAAGAAGAAUUCAAGCUAACCUGAACAGGAGCAGGAAUUUUAUAAUUACAACAUAUUGCAUGAAAAUACAGAUUGUCACAACUCUCGCUGGGAUGGUAUGGAUGGUGACAGUACAGUUAGGAUCACACCCCAAAGGACCAGCGCCACCUGACCCGGUGUCACUGUUGCCACUGCUGUACUUGGAGGCACAUUUUUGGAAAAGCUUUUCAUGGAUAUAGAGGGACAUCUGGUGGUAAAAUGAAGGUACUGCAUACUAUUUAAAAACAAAAAUGAUGAGUCUUGAAAACUAUUUAAUGAAAAUGAUAUCACAUACUGUAAUA